UACCUUGGAUAGCUCAGUUGGUUAGAGCAUGAUGCGGAGAAUGCCAAGGUUGCAGAUUCAACUCCUGUUUCGGUCA